GUUUUGAUCAAAAAGCCUCUGCUGCUCUUUCUAAGGAUGACAAGUAGAACCAGUGCUAUAAGUUUUAACCUGGGAAUUUAGAAUGCAUUUGCCUAGGUUUUUCUUGAUGUUUUGAUGAGCACAUUAGCAUUAAUUCUAGAAUACAUUUCUGCUGGAACGGGUACCAAGUAAUUUACUGCCUUGCAGGUCAGAGUGGGCAACAAAUAUGAUUUCCAUGUAUCCAAUCCAUAAUGCAUUAUGGGACUCCAGCAGUAAAACCAUGAUUUUCAAAGAAUGUUCAUUUAACCAUACAGGUAAUUAAUAAUUGAUACGUUAUUUGCUUUAAGAGUCAAAAAUGCUAUGAAAAAGCCUCUAUCACUGCUCUCAGCCCAGAUCACCCUAAAACCAGGACCAUGGGGGCUUGUAGCACCUCGAGUCUACAAGGGUUCUGGCCCACCAGAGUGAACGAAGGCAGAACUAGUUUGACAUUUCCUGCUGACUGUGAUUAGAACAUCUUUUAAUGAAGCUCACUUCAAAUCAUUUUAAAUCCAUUUGCUCAUGUCAACAUCAAUGUACUCAGCAUUAUCUACCAAUUAGUAAACCGGAAAAUAUUCUUUAGAUAAUCUGAAAUCUCAGUAAAAUAUUCAGCAUGCCAUUCAUUUACUAUAAACUGCCCUGUAAAAACAAAUUAGCAAAACCAGCUGUCACAGGACAACAUAAACAUCCAUUAAUACAGCCCAACUACUUCAGUCUCUGGCGAGAUUUUUCAGGAAGGAGAAAAUGCAGUAGAAAUACAAAUCAACAAGAAUUUCAAUGUGCUGCACAAUAUUAAAGGAGCCAUUUACCUUCCCCGUGUGUGAGCCCAAACUUGGACUGGGACGAAAGGGGUUAAAUGAGACCUUCUUGACAGUAGUCUUUGUGCUGCAGUGAAUCUAGAGGACCAAGGCAGUUCUAACACAUGUCAUACUUUGGAAAGAUCAGAAAUGUCAAGGAGCAUGAAAGCUGGCCAAAUAUCAAUCUGAUUAUAAAUAUGCAAGGGAGCAAUCAAUUCAAUUGCAAGACCCAGAUUUUGCACGACUCUCUCGCACACUGCAGAAAGCACCUUCCAAACUUACAGGAAGCCAGUGAGUACAUCACUUACCAGCCAACAUUGACUCGUCGUUUCCACAAAUCAGCCUGACAAAAUUCUAUAAUUUAAAUACGGCAAUAUUUCAAUAGCCGCCUUCCACUUAGGACCCUUCCAGUAUUUUUCAUUUUAAUGCAUUGGUUAUAAAUAAACUGCAGCAGCACCUGUUAAGAGGGAUUAAAAAACGCUUUUAUAUUAUGAGAGACCGGGUGAGAGCUUGUUCUCUGAUGAACACACUCAUGAUAUGCAGAAGACGUCUGUAGUGGAGGAGCAGUAUUCUUCAACAAUGAUUUCGAUUUAAGAAUCUAAAUUAGGCUUCAGUCACUGAUGACUACUUCGACCUUCUAAACGACAUGGAACACUUCAGAGUGGGUGCCUAACACAAAGGCUUGCCAGUCACAAGAUGGAAUAUGCUCCAAUACGCACACCCAACUGAUUGAAGGUAGAAAGUCUUGAGUGGGUGGGGCAAGCUCACUCUUUCCUUAGAAGACCCAUGAUCCCCCUAGUGAUGGACAGAAGCACCAGAACCAGCACCAAAGGUGCCCACAAACAGCUGCACAUAAGGUUUCCAAAAUGCUGGUAGGGCCACCCAAGCAGCUUGAUUUCUAGGACAUUUCCAUUUUGAGUUUUGCUAGGUAUUUCAAGACAUUAAGAAAUAUACAUGCUGAGCUGAGCAUGGAAAAGAGAGGACCCAUACGUAGCAGGGACCAUGGACCAACACCAUUGCAAGCAUACAAUUUCUUUAAAGGAGGAAAGAAAUCUAAAGCAUUCUCAUCCUUUAGGUGAACAAGUUUAUAGGCACACUAGGGUUGACUCCUAAUUCUACAGCAAGUCAAUGCUGACCCAUAAGGACCUCCAAACCAAAGGGAGGGGGGGAAUCAAAUGAACUGAAAAAAAAAAUUGUUUUAAUCAACUCAGUCACAUCUGUACAUCCUCUGGAGAGAAGUCAUAAACUUGUCUUAAGUUUACACUUGUCUUCUUGACAUUAAUUAUUAAGAAAAGCUUUUCAUCUUGAUUAUAGCCAUUAAUAAAUUAAAAGUGAAUACAUUUCUAUAAGUAUUUCAUUUCAUAACCAGGUGCGACACUCAGCCUGUGACUUUUAUAUACAAAGAGACUUCAUUAAUGCAAAAGCAUCCUGUGUAUAGUAUCUAUAAGAAAGGUAAGUAUAAACUUUAAGGAUAAUUUGCAAUUUUCCAAAUGUUAAUUCUCUACUUUCAACAUUUACCAGAAUUUUAACGUUUAAAUGAGUUUUCCACCUUGUAUAAAACAAAUACAUGUUCACUGAAAAAAGAUUCCAGCCACAUAGAAAAUUACCAAAAAGAAAGGCUGUAAGUACUGUAAUGUCAGUCUUGUACUCCUUGGCACUACAUUAUAUGAGAUGAGACAGGAGGACUGGGAAGAAAAAAGCUUGAAGACAGCCAGAUCUGGAGCGUUCUCUACAAUAAUGAAGGCUCUCCUGGAACAAGUGAUUUGCCAAAUCCAGGAG
rnacentral:lncRNA from 1 species